ACACCUCAACUCUCAUGGUCCGCCAUGAUGAGCUUGGACUUUGGGGGCUUGCCGGCCUAGCGUUGGCUCCUCUCAAAUGGAUCAGCUUGCCAGUGUUUGGUGGCGUCACAGGUGUGAUAACUAUCUACACAUGUGGUUCUCUGCCAUGUAACCUUCAGUGAUGGGGGUUCGCUGGAGCUUACAGAUGUCUCUCCUUGGGAGGACAGCUUUUGAAC
rnacentral:misc_RNA from 1 species